ensembl:lncRNA
GCCCUUAUGCACAUUCCAUGAUCUAACGUUCUAAACACACUUCAUAUCGGUGCGGCAAUUUCCGGUCAGUUUAGUUGUUAUCGAGGAUAUAACGUUACUACCACUAUGUCGCAGUUUUUUACUAGGUGUCUUCAGGCCUCAAAUUAAUAUUAAUGAUGUACAUCGAAUUGUUAAAUCAGCUUCAGAGACUCCAGCUAGCAAGAAUGAAGAGGGGUUCGAGAUGUAUAUAGGAAGCUACAUAGACAACUACGAAGUAUCUAACAAAGAUACAUUGACAGGGGAGAUCACCGUGAGGGCUGCCUGUCACAGGUCCAUGAGGAAGAGUGAAAAGCUGCACAGCAUGAGAGUAGGGAAGGUUAUAGAUAGCUACUAGGGACCUUGUUAAACAUCUCCUGUGAGACACUGUCAUCAUGGUCAAAAUGUGUUUGAGACAGUGUCAACGUUUAAUCUUAUCAGUAGAUAGAUAUUAAUGAUGGGUCCCAAUCCCAAUUUAGAAUUGCCCACUUUACCAAAUAACCUGUUAAGAUCUGUUGAUGCAGUGUUUGGUAAUUGUGUUAUUGAGACACAAUCUAUUCCUGUAUAGUUAAAUGAGCCCCUAGUUAAUAAGACUAGACACUACUAUGUUUAUUGUUAUUUAUGGGCCUCAUCAUUCUUGUUUCUCACUUCAGUCACUUCACUUAUCUUCACAGAUGGUGUUAAAGCACUCCGUACCAGUGAUAGUGGUCCAAAGCCACUGCUCCUGUGUUGCAGGAAGUGCUCUGUGCAAUCAUCUGGUGGCCCUUUACCAGACAGCGCACUACUCUCAAUGAAACAUUCCUGCUGCACCACCAGUUCACAGCUGCACAGACACAGAACAGCGUUGGCACAAGCCAAGAACACUUGGUGUGAAGCCAGGUCCGGUUGAUGGGAUAGAGUUCCGUAAACCAACUAACUCGUGUGCUGAUGGAAUAAGAAGUUCUCUCUACAAAGCACUCAAUGGAUACAUGCCUGACAUGGACCUUCUCCGCGUCUCAGAACCGUAUGGCAACUUUUCUCCACUUACUGCCCCUCUUGUGACAACAAUGGAAAUGUCAGCUGACCUGCCCCUGGUUGAGUCCGCCUUUGGGCCAGUGUAAGCCGGCAGUGUGCUGUCCUAUCAGCUUCCACAGCCAAAGACCAGUGAAAUUGUGAAGAUUGCCGAUGUCACUUAUCCACCAAUACUUCCAUUAGAUGGCUACAGGCUUCAGGCUUCCCAGUGUGCUUACGUCCUUAGCCAUCAGGAGCAGUUGCACCUCAAGGCGUUAGAGACAACCUACGAGAUGUCACACAAAGUCAAGGUUGCUACAAGGGAGCGGAGCAGCAGCCCGGAAUGGCAUCAGCUCAGGAAAAUGAGAAUAACAUCAUCUCGCUUCCAAGAGGUUUGCCAAGGUUUGCCAUGUCCGGGGAGAGACCUCAGCUGACCAUCUAGCUGAGCGGAUGUUCAAGGGAUCUGGUAUGCAGACCAUGGAUAUGAAGAGGGGGCUAGCCAUGGAGCCAGUGGCUGUACAGGGAUCAGGUAUGCAGACCAUGGAUAUGAAGAGAGGGCUAGCCAUGGAGCCAGUAGCUGUACAGGAGUACGGCACACUGAAGAAUGUUAACUUCUUUCCGUGUGGCUUCGUAGUGCACCCAGAUGCUCUGUGGUUUGGAUCCUCUCCAGAUGGAAUCAUAUUUGAUCCCAGUGUGAGACCACACUUUGGAUUCUUAGAGGUCAAGUGCCCAAAUGUACCAAGUUAUGUUGACUGCCCUUAUCUGAAGAUACAGAAUGGAGAGCUGAAGUUGAAGAGAUCUCAUGCUUACGCCUGCUCAUGCAGGUGCAAGGUCAAAUCCUUCUCACAGGUUGUAGCUGGUGUGACUUUGUCAUCUGUACACAGGAGGACAUCCUAGUUGAAAGGAUAUAUACAGAUCUACAGGUUUCAAAAGCUACAAGAGAGAAGGUUGACCACUUUUAUUUUUCCACUACUUGCAGAACUGUCUCUCGCACCUGAAUGGAUCCCCUGCAUGGGUGCCAAGUUUAGUGGUUUUAUGAAAAAUAAGUAUUGAUGUUCUUGUGAAGAAAUCUACAGUAGAAUAGAUUUGUUUAAAAAUAUAUAUAUUUCAGCAAAUGUUCAACAGUUCAGUUAAUCAAUUACACAUCUCUAACAUUGUAUUCAGUCUUGCAUUCUGGUUAUUCUGUUUACUUGAUUUCUUUCCCCCACCCCUGUUACUCAUUGCCUAAUUAAAGCCAAUACAAGCUCCACACAAACUGAUAUUCAC